rnacentral:rRNA from 1 species
AUCCGUUGAUCCUGGCAAGACGAACUACUGCGAAAGCAGCUGGCAAGGGCACUUUCAUUGAUCAGGAACGAAGGUUGGGGAAUCGAAGACGAUUAGACACCGUUGUAGUCCCAACAGUAAACGAUGCCGACGCGGGCUCUGGCGUCUGAAAUCCAUUCGCUGGGGCCCGUGGAGAAAUUAGAGUCUUUGGGCUCUGGGGGGAGUAUAGUCGCAAGACCGAAACUUAAAGGAAUUGACGGAAGGGCACAACCAGGCGUGGAGCCUGCGGCUUAAUUUGACUCAACACGGGACAACUCACCAGGACAGGACAUGACGAGGAUUGACAGACUUAUAUAUCUCUCAUGAUUUCAUGGGUGGUGGUGCAUGGCCGUUCUUAGUUCGUGGAUUAAUUCGUCUGGUUGAUUCCGAUAACGAACGAGACCAGAACGUGUGGUUGGCGUCGGUACCAUGGCGCCCGCUUCGGCCCUCGUGGCCUGGGGGUUCGUCCCCCUCGGCGGGCGUCCGCCUCAUGUGUGGACUCUGAUCCGGAAACGAGGCCCGCGCCCAAUCAUGCGGACUGCCCGCGCUAUAGUGGGUGGAGGUGUCUGGCAAUAACAGGUCUGUGAUGCCCUUAGAUGUCCUGGGCCGCACGCGCGCUACACUGAUGCGACCAAUGGGCAUCCUCCUUGGCCGAGAGGCUUGGGUAAUCCUGUGAAAUCGCAUUCGUGCUGGGGAUCGAGCUUUGUGACUAUUGCUCGUGCAACUUGGAAUGCCUCGUAAUCGUGGGUCAUUAGCCCACGCUGAAUAUGUCCCUGCCCUUUGUACACACCGCCCGUCGCUACUACCGAUUGAAUGGCU